CUUCACUGAUAACUUCACUGAAACGGAUCUUCCACGAGCUGAAAAGACUUUAAGGGGCUGCAGAAGAAGAGAAGAGCAGAUCCAGUACUGAUCGACGUUUAGAUGUUGUGUUCAGAAUGAUACUAUUAACUAACAACAAAUAAUGUAGCUUAUUACCACGUUGUUGCAUAAAAGCCUAAAGAUAAAAUGUACACUUUCAACCGUUGUUAUUUAUAAAGCAACAAUUUUACCGGU